CAAAAUUCUCUUUCCACUCAGCAACAAGACCUUUCAGUUCCCACUCGUGAAGAAGCUUUAACACAUCAGUGUUGCUAAUACUAAAAAAUGGGGCACCAUGAUCGAACAAAAGCUCCUUCCCAUCUUCAGCAAUUUCUCUUCUCUGGGACAUACGGCCUCCAGGGCCUCGGGCUGAUUCGAAGAGGGUGACUGAAACUCCAUUCCUUGCAAGAGUUGAUGCGCAUACAGC
rnacentral:misc_RNA from 1 species